CUGCGUUGAGAAAAUGGCCUCUACAGACUCAACAUAAUAAACAGGAAAAUGUAAUGUUUGACAUUAUCACUUCUGUACUCUAUAGAACAAGUUUACGUAAAAAAUAUACGUACCUGUAGCUAAUAACUUUGGUAAAGCUCAGAUUGUGAACUUUGCAUACAAUUCAUUGUGGGGUCAUUGACCAGAGACGUUAAAGGUACGUCUAUUAGAUUAGUUUCGAAGAUUGAAAGGAUUGACGAAGGCCUCUGCUGGACAUACUUCAGGAAAGGGUCAGAAAAGAUCGAUCCCGCAACCCAUCGGAAACGCUACCAAGUGUGGGUGCCUUUCAAUUUUUCGCCUAAAAGUCACCCUUACGGGGACUCAGGGGCCACGCGUCUAAAAGAAGAAUGCUGAUGCAUCACUGCAAGCACUGGAGCCAACCUCCCCCAGCUCAAUAUUCCAAGGCGGAUGGCGCGAUGUGAUAAUGAUCGUUGCCGAAUCAAGCUAUUAAUUAAAUUAAAUAAAAAGUUUGAAAGGUCAGGGAUUGUGAUUGGAAAGUUAAGGUUAAAUAAAAGACAUUGAUAUUUUA